rnacentral:lncRNA from 1 species
UGUUUUCGAUCUUGGUUUAGUGGAGAAAUAAAGUUUCGUAAAUGGAAGAAGAUGUUUGGAGGUAGAAGAUGAUGUUCAUCUAAGUUGGAAAUUCAUUUAAGUUUUAGGUUUCACGCGGAUCACUGAUGGUAGUGUCUUGAGCGUUGAUACUCACUAAAUGAACGAAAAAGGUUUGUUUAAGAACGGUGAAGAAACUCUAU